AUUGAACGCUGGCGGCAUGCCUUACACAUGCAAGUCGAACGGCAGCACGGGUGCUUGCACCUGGUGGCGAGUGGCGAACGGGUGAGUAAUACAUCGGAACAUGUCCUGUAGUGGGGGAUAGCCCGGCGAAAGCCGGAUUAAUACCGAAUACGAUCUACGGAUGAAAGCGGGGGACCUUCGGGCCUCGCGCUAUAGGGUUGGCCGAUGGCUGAUUAGCUAGUUGGUGGGGUAAAGGCCUACCAAGGCGACGAUCAGUAGCUGGUCUGAGAGGACGACCAGCCACACUGGGACUGAGACACGGCCCAGACUCCUACGGGAGGCAGCAGUGGGGAAUUUUGGACAAUGGGCGAAAGCCUGAUCCAGCAAUGCCGCGUGUGUGAAGAAGGCCUUCGGGUUGUAAAGCACUUUUGUCCGGAAAGAAAUCCUUGGCUCUAAUACAGUCGGGGGAUGACGGUACCGGAAGAAUAAGCACCGGCUAACUACGUG
rnacentral:rRNA from 1 species